AUAAAUCUUGGGUUUUUUCUAAUUGCAUGUGUGAUUUAAACUACAUUUUCCUCAUAUCUAUGCCAACGAUUACAUUUCCAGAUCUGUGUUUAAUUUAGGUCCUCAAUAUCUAGAGGGUUAUCCUGUUGUCUAUAAAUCUUUGGUUUUUUCUAAUCGCAUGUGUGAUUUAAACUACAUUUUCCUAAUAUUUAUACCAGCAAUUACAUUUCCAGAUCUGUGCUUAAUUUAGGUCCUUAAUAUCUAAACAGUUAAGAAUUUCUGAUUGUCUAUAAAUCUUGGGUUUUUUCUAAUCGCAUGUGUGAUUUAAACUACAUUUUCCUCAUAUCUUCAAAAUAGAUAGAUGCAUGUUUGAUAUAUCAUCAAAUCUGAGACUUUAAAUUAGUAUUAGCUUCUCCAUUCCAUGAUUUUUAACUUUGAUUGUAGUUCAUAGUUGUUUUCCGAGAGAUUUGUGCGAUUCUAGAUGAUUCAUUUUAGAAUCGCAGUUGGCUUUCUUUUUUAUUUUUUGUUUUUACUACUAUAUAUUGAUAUAUUGACACAUAUCCUACGAAUUUCUAAAUUGGUUUUUGAACUACAUCCCCAGCUUAGAGAUGGAAGAAGGAACAGAUUCAUCCACAAUUGGGAGUAGGUGUUUCACACUAGUUUGCAGUAUGAGUUAACACAUUCAUUCGCUAUUCAAUGAAAAUUAGAAGUGGAAGGCUUACCCGCUAUUAUAUCCGCAAAUGAGAUCCCCUUAUUCAGUAGUCCUGCCAAAGCUCCUGCUUCUCCCUUAAUUGCAGCCUCAGAGAGCUUAUGUUGCUCGGCAAUUUAU